UAGCCUAGUGGUUAAGGCUAUGGAUUGCCAAUACGGAGACGGCGGGUUCGAUUCCCGU
rfam:Aedes albopictus isolate Foshan contig4338, whole genome shotgun sequence.